rnacentral:rRNA from 1 species
UGGGGAAUAUUGCACAAUGGGCGCAAGCCUGAUGCAGCCAUGCCGCGUGUGUGAAGAAGGCCUUCGGGUUGUAAAGCACUUUCAGCGGGGAGGAAGGCGAUAAGGUUAAUAACCUUGUCGAUUGACGUUACCCGCAGAAGAAGCACCGGCUAACUCCGUGCCAGCAGCCGCGGUAAUACGGAGGGUGCAAGCGUUAAUCGGAAUUACUGGGCGUAAAGCGCACGCAGGCGGUCUGUCAAGUCGGAUGUGAAAUCCACGGGCUCAACCUGGGAACUGCGUUCGAAACUGGCAGGCUAGAGUCUUGUAGAGGGGGGUAGAAUUCCAGGUGUAGCGGUGAAAUGCGUAGAGAUCUGGAGGAAUACCGGUGGCGAAGGCGGCCCCCUGGACAAAGACUGACGCUCAGGUGCGAAAGCGUGGGGAGCAAACAGG